rnacentral:rRNA from 1 species
AGGAAUAUUGGUCAAUGGGCUUACGCCUGAACCAGCCAAGUCGCGUGAGGGAAGACUGCCCUAUGGGUUGUAAACCUCUUUUGUCAGGGAGCAACGCCGGCUACGUGUAGCCGGACUGAGAGUACCUGAAGAAAAAGCAUCGGCUAACUCCGUGCCAGCAGCCGCGGUAAUACGGAGGAUGCGAGCGUUAUCCGGAUUUAUUGGGUUUAAAGGGUGCGUAGGCGGAAUGCCAAGUCAGCGGUAAAAAUGCGGUGCUCAACGCCGUACAGCCGUUGAAACUGGCAGUCUUGAGUGGGCGAGAAGUAUGCGGAAUGCGUGGUGUAGCGGUGAAAUGCAUAGAUAUCACGCAGAACUCCGAUUGCGAAGGCAGCAUACCGGCGCCCGACCGACGCUGAGGCACGAAAGCGUGGGUAUCGAAC